CGAGGGAGUUGAAUGUCGAGAUAUUCGGAGCCACGCCAUAGAGGGGAAAUUUUUCGAGCACCUUGUGUGCGUCCCCGAAACGGCCUGCAUGUGCAAGCGCAUAAACGAUGGGGUUGCAGGUGAGCAGAUUGGCCUCGAUACCCUCCUCCCGCAUCUGGUCAAGGAGCGCCAUCGCGUGGUCAGGCCUGCGCAUGACGCAGUGCGCGUCGAUGAAGGUCCCGUAGGUGACCACCGUCGGCCGCACGCCUUCAUCGCGCAUCGCCGCCCAGAGCUUCUCCGCCUUGUCGAGUCGGCGCGCGCGGGACCACCCGUUGAGCAGGAUGUUGUAGAUCCGCACGUCGGGCGCCCACCCGUCGUCCUCGCGCCGGAUCUGCGCGACGAGCAGCGCGGCGGCGCGAGGGUGGCCCUCCUUGCAAAGCGCGUCGAUGGUCAGGAUCAACGGGGAGAGCGCCUCGGCAGACGGCGUGACAUCGCUUUCGACGGCGUAGCGGCCCGGGUGGCGUUGGAGAAACCGGAACGUGCGGACCGCGGAGUCGGUGCGGCCGAUGCGAGCGUAGCGGCGAAGGAGCGGUGCGAACGCGGCGAGCGGGGGCGGCGGGGAGGCGGCGGCGGGCUGGAACAGGAGGAAGCGCCAGGCGGCGGCGAAGAGGCGGCGGGAGGCGAGGAGGGAGACGGCGGUGGCGGCGCCGGCCCAGCGGGCGAGGGCCGGAAUCGCGGAGUCCGGGAGGGUCGGGAGCGCGGGGCGGAGGUGCUGGAGCAGCUCGGGCGUCGGGGCGAUGCCGGAAGUGGCGAGGAGGCGGGCGGGGUCAGCUCCGCGGAGGAUGGAGACCACGUCGGCAGCGGCGGUUGGAGUUGGAGGAUGCGUCUCAACCAUUGCACUCAUUGCCUUCCAGUGGAACGGAUGCAGUGUGUGUCUUCAGGUGACGUCGCCACCGGAAGUGCCGAUGUUCCCAACCUCCGGCGAGAAAAUUGCAUAUUUUUCCCCGAGAAAAUUGGAUUUUUGCCAUUACGAAACUUAGAAUUCGCCCAAAUGCCAUUAUGUAAACGCGUUUCGUUAAUACGCCAUUCUCAAACACUAACAGACAAAAUGCCAUUUAGG
rnacentral:misc_RNA from 1 species